rnacentral:lncRNA from 1 species
GGUGGAUCCUGGAAGAGUCUUGACAGCUGCAAGGAGAUAAUUAGGAAAAUCUCACAUCUGCUAAACUCUCCCAGCUAACCCCUUCCUCAUCACCUGAUACAACGAAUGCAGCUAGAACAAUACAAACAAACAAAAAUACACCCUAAAGAUAUGAAGCCUGUUAAAACGAGCCGAUGA